rnacentral:rRNA from 1 species
GAACGCUGGCGGCAGGCCUAACACAUGCAAGUCGAGCGGUAGCACAGAGAGCUUGCUCUCGGGUGACGAGCGGCGGACGGGUGAGUAAUGUCUGGGAAACUGCCUGAUGGAGGGGGAUAACUACUGGAAACGGUAGCUAAUACCGCAUAACGUCGCAAGACCAAAGUGGGGGACCUUCGGGCCUCAUGCCAUCAGAUGUGCCCAGAUGGGAUUAGCUAGUAGGUGGGGUAACGGCUCACCUAGGCGACGAUCCCUAGCUGGUCUGAGAGGAUGACCAGCCACACUGGAACUGAGACACGGUCCAGACUCCUACGGGAGGCAGCAGUGGGGAAUAUUGCACAAUGGGCGCAAGCCUGAUGCAGCCAUGCCGCGUGUGUGAAGAAGGCCUUCGGGUUGUAAAGCACUUUCAGCGGGGAGGAAGGCGGUGAGGUUAAUAACCUCAUCGAUUGACGUUACCCGCAGAAGAAGCACCGGCUAACUCCGUGCCAGCAGCCGCGGUAAUACGGAGGGUGCAAGCGUUAAUCGGAAUUACUGGGCGUAAAGCGCACGCAGGCGGUCUGUCAAGUCGGAUGUGAAAUCCCCGGGCUCAACCUGGGAACUGCAUUCGAAACUGGCAGGCUAGAGUCUUGUAGAGGGGGGUAGAAUUCCAGGUGUAGCGGUGAAAUGCGUAGAGAUCUGGAGGAAUACCGGUGGCGAAGGCGGCCCCCUGGACAAAGACUGACGCUCAGGUGCGAAAGCGUGGGGAGCAAACAGGAUUAGAUACCCUGGUAGUCCACGCUGUAAACGAUGUCGAUUUGGAGGUUGUGCCCUUGAGGCGUGGCUUCCGGAGCUAACGCGUUAAAUCGACCGCCUGGGGAGUACGGCCGCAAGGUUAAAACUCAAAUGAAUUGACGGGGGCCCGCACAAGCGGUGGAGCAUGUGGUUUAAUUCGAUGCAACGCGAAGAACCUUACCUGGUCUUGACAUCCACAGAACUUUGCAGAGAUGGAUUGGUGCCUUCGGGAACUGUGAGACAGGUGCUGCAUGGCUGUCGUCAGCUCGUGUUGUGAAAUGUUGGGUUAAGUCCCGCAACGAGCGCAACCCUUAUCCUUUGUUGCCAGCGGUUAGGCCGGGAACUCAAAGGAGACUGCCAGUGAUAAACUGGAGGAAGGUGGGGAUGACGUCAAGUCAUCAUGGCCCUUACGACCAGGGCUACACACGUGCUACAAUGGCAUAUACAAAGAGAAGCGACCUCGCGAGAGCAAGCGGACCUCAUAAAGUAUGUCGUAGUCCGGAUUGGAGUCUGCAACUCGACUCCAUGAAGUCGGAAUCGCUAGUAAUCGUAGAUCAGAAUGCUACGGUGAAUACGUUCCCGGGCCUUGUACACACCGCCCGUGCACACCAUGGGAGUGGGUUGCAAAAGAAGUA